rnacentral:rRNA from 1 species
GUGGGGAAUAUUGGACAAUGGGGGGAACCCUGAUCCAGCCAUGCCGCGUGUGUGAAGAAGGCCUUUUGGUUGUAAAGCACUUUAAGCGAGGAGGAGGCUACCGAGAUUAAUACUCUUGGAUAGUGGACGUUACUCGCAGAAUAAGCACCGGCUAACUCUGUGCCAGCAGCCGCGGUAAUACAGAGGGUGCAAGCGUUAAUCGGAUUUACUGGGCGUAAAGCGCGCGUAGGUGGCCAAUUAAGUCAAAUGUGAAAUACCCGAGCUUAACUUGAGAAUUGCAUUCGAUACUUGUUGGCUAGAGUAUGGGAGAGGAUGGUAGAAUUCCAGGUGUAGCGGUGAAAUGCGUAGAGAUCUGGAGGAAUACCGAUGGCGAAGGCAGCCAUCUGGCCUAAUACUGACACUGAGGUGCGAAAGCAUGGGGAGCAAACAGGAUUAGAUACCCCUGUAGUUC